rnacentral:rRNA from 1 species
AAUCCUGGCUCAGGAUGAACGCUGGCGGCGUGCUUAACACAUGCAAGUCGAACGAAGCACUCUGUUUGAUUUUCUUCGGAAAUGAAGAUUUUGUGACUGAGUGGCGGACGGGUGAGUAACGCGUGGGUAACCUGCCUCAUACAGGGGGAUAACAGUUGGAAACGACUGCUAAUACCGCAUAAGCGCACAGGAUUGCAUGAUCCAGUGUGAAAAACUCCGGUGGUAUGAGAUGGACCCGCG